rnacentral:lncRNA from 1 species
AGCCCUGUGACUUCUCCACCUUGCCGUGGAUACUCCCUCAGCUUCUCUGACUUCUGGGCAAAGCCUCUGCAGGACGUGCCACCAAGGUUAGAGGAAAAAAACACGAACACAGGUUUUGGUCAAUCCUCAUGAACUACAGCUCAUACUCAUAUUUCCUGGCUUGUUUUUAUUCUCCCCACCUUAAUUCCAUCUUCCCUUUCUGAUUGUCUACCUUGUGGAGUUCAAGCUCCCGCUUCAGACAAGAAGAUGAAAGCCAUACAAAGACUACUCAACCCAACCAUCUCCCACAGUGACAUAAGGAUCUCUACAUACAGUGUGAAAAAAAUAAGAGAAGAAAUGGAAGCCUAGAGGCAAGAUGACAGAAGAAACUGUAGUGUUAAUCCAGAUAAGACAUUGAAGAGCUAAACCAGGAUUUUGGUAAGACAGAUGGAGAGAUGUGAAUGGAUCUGAAUGCUACCAAGAAGGUCAAAUUCAACGGUGCUUACAGGCAUACCUUGGAAACAUUGCAGAUUUAGUUCUAGAACACCACAGUAAAGCAAAUAUUGCAAGAAAAUGAAUCACAUGAAUUUUGGGUUUCCCAGCGCACAUAAAAGUUAUGUUUACACUAUACUAUAGUCUAAGUGUGUAAUAGCAUUAUGUAUUUUAAAAGUACAUGCCUUAAUUAAAAAAUAUUUUAUUGCUAAAAAUGCUAUCAUCUGAGCCUUCAAUUAGUUAUAAUCAUUUUGCUGAUGGAGGGUCUUGCCUCAAUGUUGAUGGUUGCUGACUGAUCAGGGUAGUGUUUGUUGAUGGUUGGGGUGGCUGUGGCAAUUUCUUAAAAUAAGACAACAAUAAAGUUUGCCACAUCAAUCAAUUUUUCCUUUCAUAAAUAAUUUGUCUGUAGGAUGCAAUGCUGUUUGGUAGCAUUUUACACACAGUAGAAUUUCUUUAAAAUUGGAGUCAAUCUUCUCAAGCCCUGCCAUUUCCACAGCAGCUACAAUUACUUCCUCCACAGAAGUCUUGAACCCCUCCAAGUCAUCCAAGAGGGUUGGAAUCAACUAUUUCCAAAGUCCUGUUAAUGAUGAUAUCUUGACCUCCUUCCAUGAAUUAAUUACAAUUGUUCUUAAUAUCAUCUAGUUUGGUGAAUCCUUUCCAGAAGGUUUUUAAUUUAUCUUGUCAAGAUCCAUCAGAGGAAUCACUAUCUAUGGCAGUUAGAGUCUUCUGAAAUGUAUUUCUUAAAUAAUAAGACUUGAAAGUAAAAAUUACUCCUUUAUCCAGGGGAUGCAGAAUGAAUGUUGGGUUAGUGGUCAUGAAAGUAACAUUAAUCUCCCUGUACAUCUCUAUCAGAGCUCUUGCAUUGCUAGGCGCAUUGUCAAUGAGCAGUAACAUUUUGAAAGAAAUUUUUUUUUCUGAGUAGUAGUUCUCAACACUGGCCUUAAACUAUUCAGUAAGCUGGCCAGGCAUGGUGGCUUAUGCCUGUAAUCCCAGCACUUUAGGAGGCCGAGGCGGGUGGAUCACCUGAGGUUAGGAGUUCGAGACCAGCCUGGCCAACAUGGCCAAACCCCAUCUCUACAAAAUUACAAAAAUUAGUUGGGGGUGGUGGUGUGUGCCUGUAAUCCCAGCUACUCAGGAGGCUGAGGUAGGAGAAUUGCUUGAACCCAGGAGGUAGAAAUUGCAGUGAACUGAGAUCAUGCCACUGCACUCCAGCCUGGGAGACAGAGUGAGACUCCAU